GCCGACAAAGCCAAACCAUGAGUAAGCGUGGGACGGAAAGCCACGGGUCCCCAAAAGCCGGGAUAGCCAGGUUGCCGAAA
rnacentral:ncRNA from 1 species